rnacentral:rRNA from 1 species
GUGGGGAAUAUUGGACAAUGGGCGAAAGCCUGAUCCAGCAAUGCCGCGUGGGUGAAGAAGGCCUUCGGGUUGUAAAGCCCUUUUGUACGGGAAGAAAUCAUUCGGGUUAAUACUCUGGGUGGAUGACGGUACCGUAAGAAUAAGCACCGGCUAACUUCGUGCCAGCAGCCGCGGUAAUACGAAGGGUGCAAGCGUUAAUCGGAAUUACUGGGCGUAAAGCGUGCGUAGGUGGUUGUUCAAGUCUGUCGUGAAAGCCCUGGGCUCAACCUGGGAAUGGCGAUGGAAACUGGGCGACUAGAGUGCGGUAGAGGAUGGCGGAAUUCCCGGUGUAGCGGUGAAAUGCGUAGAGAUCGGGAGGAACAUCCGUGGCGAAGGCGGCCAUCUGGACCAGCACUGACACUGAGGCACGAAAGCGUGGGGAGCAAACAGGAUUAGAAACCCAGGUAGUCC